AGCUCCAAUAGCGUAUAUUAAAGUUGUUGCAGUUAAAAAGCUCGUAGUCGAAUUUCGGGCGAGGCAUUAUUGCCAACCUUUUGGGUUUGGCUUUAAUGGCAAGUCUUUUUUUCUAGAUUUCCUGUUAGCCUUUACGGGUGUGCAGGAGUAUCUAGGACUAUUACUUUGAAGAAAUUAGAGUGUUUAAGGCAGGCUUGUGCUUGAAUACAUUAGCAUGGAAUAAUAAAAUAGGACUUUGGUUUUAUUUUGUUGGUUUUAAAAACUAGAGUAAUGAUUAAUAGGGAUAGUCGGGGGCGUUAGUAUUUAGUAGUCAGAGGUGAAAUUCUUGGAUUUACUAAAGACUAACUAGUGCGAAAGCAUUCGCCAAGGAUGUUUUCA
rnacentral:rRNA from 1 species